rnacentral:misc_RNA from 1 species
GAUGAAGAACGCAGCGAAAUGCGAUAAGUAAUGUGAAUUGCAGAAUUCAGUGAAUCAUCGAAUCUUUGAACGCACAUUGCGCCCGCCAGUAUUCUGGCGGGCAUGCCUGUUCGAGCGUCAUUUUCACCAUUAAGCUCUGCUUGUGUUGGGGUCCUGCGGCUGCCCGCAGGCCCUGAAACCCAGUGGCGGGCUCGCUAGUCACACCGAGCGCAGUAGCACAUCUCGCUCAGGGCGUGCGGCGGGUUCUUGCCGUAAAACAACCCCCCCUUUUCACCAAGGUUGACCUCGGAUCAGGUAGGAAUACCCGCUGAACUUAAGCAUAUCAAUAAGCGGAGGA